GCAGGAUGGACGCGUUGGCUGUCAUGAUGUAGGACCUCCUGACCUAGAACCAUGCCCGGCGCAGGGAGAACAACGAGCUUACGGACCGGGUGCGGGGGCUGCUGUGCGAGAAAGCCUACCUGCUGGCCCGGGAGCGUUCGCCGGCCCACCUGGUGGCUUUCCCUGGACGUUUAACGGCGACUCCGCCCGGCCUCCCGACUUUUUGAUGCAGGCGUUCUCUUACAUGACUUUCUUCGAGGCUAGAUUCUCGAAAGACAUCCUGAAGGUGGCUUUCUUAAUUAGCUGCCUCACCGGCUGGCGGAGCAGUUCGUAGUCGCCUACAUCGAGAGGGAGAGCCCCGUCCUGGCUCAGUACUGGGGCUUCGUGGACGCGCUGUAGCGGGUCUUCGCCGUCGUGGGUAGGAAACAGUCGGGCCGGAUCCCCGGUGUCUGGGGAGCGGCUGCCGGCCGGGCCCGCGCGAGCCGCUUCACUCCUACAAGCCCGGCUCACUAGUUCCAAGCUGCUGGACUUUGACCCUCGCUGGGAAGCUUGAUCGCCGCCUGUUCUCGCCAAUCUCUAUGCCUUUGCACUGCCCAGCAACCCGGUCACUGCCCAGGACCUGUUAAAAGUUGAAUGGACCUCCCAGAAUCACGCCGCUGCCACCGCCGUUUCUAGAGACGGCUUUUGGCCACCUUUGAGAAUCAGGGUCAAACUUGGAAGGGCCUGCAUUUGUCACACUUCCUCGGACACUAAUUUGGAUAGUUCAGGCCCAGAGACGGCUUCCCGGGUUAGUGUGCCUGACAACACUGAAGAAAAAUUGUGACAUUUUCCUUCCCCAGAAUUACUUCGUUUUAUACAUUUCACUUCUCUUCUGAAAUCACAGCAAUGCCAGUUUGCGCCUUUUGGUCUGAGGAACGCAGGCCCUGGCCACUACCAGGAAAAAGUAUUUACUUUUAAAACUUGAAUGUAUAUCUUUACCGUAUGCCUAGUACAGUAGUGCUUGGAAGAAACAGAUUAGUAAGACAAAAUAUAUGUCUUCAAGAACACUUACGUUCUGAGAAAGAAUUCUGAAUGCAGAUUCUAAUGUCUGAUCCUUUGCACAUGGCCUGCUAUCAACAAUCCUCUACAAUGAUUCUCAGCAUCACCUAGGGAGCUUAUGUAAAAUCUCAAAUUCCUGGGCCCUAUCCCCAGAGUUUCUUAUCAAGUAAGUCUGCAUUGGGAUCUGAGGAUUUGCAUCUCUAACAAAAAUUCCUAGGCGAUGCUCACACUGUUGGUGUAAGGUUUCCUUGAUGGAGAACUAUCAAAGCAGUCAAAGCUAUCAAAAUAAAAAAGAAUUCUGAUUGGGUGCAGUGGCUCACACCUGUCAUUCCAGCACUUUGAGAGGCCAAGGUGGGCAGAUCACAUGAGGCCAGGAGUUCAAGACCAGCCUGGCCAACAUGGCAGAAACCCCAUCUCUACUAAAAAUACCAAAAUUAGCCGGGCAUGGUGGAACACACCUGCAAUCCCAGCUACUCGGGAGGCUGAGGCAAGAGAAUCGCUUGAACCUGGGAGGCAGAAGUUGCAGUGAAACAAGUUGGUGCCAAUGCAUUCCAGCCUGGA
rnacentral:lncRNA from 1 species